CUGCUGCCUUCCGUAGGAGUCUGGUCCGUGUCUCAGUACCAGUGUGGGGGACCUUCCUCUCAGAACCCCUACGCAUCGUCGCCUUGGUGGGCCGUUACCCCGCCAACUAGCUAAUGCGACGCAUGACCAUCCGUAGCCGGAAUCGCUUCCUUUAAACCCGAGGAGAUGCCUCCUCGGGUUGUUACGCGGUAUUAGACGGAAUUUCUUCCGCUUAUCCCCCUGCUACGGGCAGGUUUCAUACGUGUUACUCACCCGUGCGCCGGUCGCCCGGCGGGAGUA
rnacentral:rRNA from 1 species